AAAAUUUCAGCUUUGGUCCCUGAAUAAUUGCAUCUCAAAUCCUCCACUUUUUGACUUGUAUGCCUUGGCCUCCAACUUCCAUCAAUGGCCAAUUUAAUCCCCGUUUUUUGGAUUCUGUCACUUUUCGCCAAUUUUUUUGCUUCUUUCCCUUCCUUCUUCGUCCAAGCACGAGUUUUACCUAAGAAAAUUAAUACAAUAAAAUUU
rnacentral:lncRNA from 1 species